GGACCAAUGCAUAAUAAAAUAAUUAUAAUAAUAUCCUAUAGCUUCGUAUUAAGCAUCCUAUAUUUACCGACUACCGAAUGAACCCGACACACGCCCGGUAUCACGUACCACAUGUUAGACCCGUUCCCAUAUUAUACCUGCCCCAUAACUACCGUACUAUUCCAUACCCAUUCUGUUAUAAAUUCCGUUCAAAUUUAUUUUCGAUUCUAGUACACAACGGCUUAUUUAAUUUUUAUUUCUAUU